rnacentral:lncRNA from 1 species
UUGGUGCAGCCUGACGUACCUGUGAGCAGAUGAAGGGGCAUUUGACUCAAAAGCAAAUCUGAGGGUUCUGGCACCGUACACCUGUACCCCCACUAAGCACCGCCCAGAGCGGACGUUAAGUCGGAUAAUUCCACUCAGCUGUCUGAGUUAUUUCAGUCGUUUCGGCGACUGAAUCAAGUGACCCCGUGUGUCAGGGUCGUUUGACAGCUGGUGGUCUGGAAACUGUCACUUGUGUGGUGCGGUAAGGGGACUCACAGGUUCUUAGCAGGAACCGGGACGACGGGAGAGCCCAGCGGUCACACUGCCAACAGGAGUUCGGGUGCUGAGAUCCGACUUUUCAUAAGACCCAGCGAGGAGCGUCGUACUGGGAUGUUUAAAAAGUGUUUGAAAGUGGACCAAAAGCAAAGACAGGGUCUGCACGACACGGAGAGGUGUUGCCAAGGAGAGUGCUGGCUGCCGGUCAGAAGACCCACUGAGCAAGAAACAGGAGGAGGUCUGACUUCUACCUCCGACCUAGCCACGGUGUGGCCUCGGGC